AUUGAACGCUGGCGGCAUGCUUUACACAUGCAAGUCGAACGGCAGCGCGGGCUUCGGCCUGGCGGCGAGUGGCGAACGGGUGAGUAAUGCAUCGGAACGUGCCCAGUAGUGGGGGAUAGCCCGGCGAAAGCCGGAUUAAUACCGCAUACGACCUGAGGGUGCAAGCGGGGGACCGAAAGGCCUCGCGCUAUUGGAGCGGCCGAUGUCGGAUUAGCUAGUUGGUGGGGUAAAGGCUUACCAAGGCGACGAUCCGUAGCUGGUCUGAGAGGACGACCAGCCACACUGGGACUGAGACACGGCCCAGACUCCUACGGGAGGCAGCAGUGGGGAAUUUUGGACAAUGGGGGCAACCCUGAUCCAGCCAUGCCGCGUGCGGGAAGAAGGCCUUCGGGUUGUAAACCGCUUUUGUUCGGGAAGAAAUCCUCUGGGCUAAUACCCCGGGGGGAUGACGGUACCGGAAGAAUAAGCACCGGCUAACUACGUG
rnacentral:rRNA from 1 species